UAAUACAGAGGGUGCAAGCGUUGCUCGGAUUUACUGGGCGUAAAGCGUACGCAGACGGCGAGGCAGGUCGGGUGUGAAAGCCCCGGGCUCAACCCGGGAAAUGCACUCGAAACCAUCUUGCUCGAGUAUGGGAGAGGGAAGCGGAAUUCCUGGUGUAGAGGUGAAAUUCGUAGAUAUCAGGAGGAACACCGGCGGCGAAGGCGGCUUCCUGGCCCAUUACUGACGUUCAGGUACGAAAGCGUGGGUAGCAAACAGGAUUAGAUACCCUGGUAGUCCACGCGGUAAACGAUGAGUGCUGGAUGUCGGGGGUAUUCACCCCCUCGGUAUCGUAGCCAACGCGUUAAGCACUCCGCCUGGGGAGUACGGCCGCAAGGUUG
rnacentral:rRNA from 1 species